rnacentral:rRNA from 1 species
CCUACGGGAGGCAGCAGUAGGGAAUCUUCCACAAUGGGCGAAAGCCUGAUGGAGCAACGCCGCGUGGGUGAAGAAGGUCUUCUGAUCGUAAAACCCUGUUGUUAGAGAAGAAAGUGCGUGAGAGUAACUGUUCACGUUUCGACGGUAUCUAACCAGAAAGCCACGGCUAACUACGUGCCAGUAGCCGCGGUAAUACGUAGGGGGCAAGCGUUAUCCGGAUUUGUUGGGCGGAAAGGGAACGCAGGCGGUCUUUUAAGUCUGAUGUGAAAGCCUUCGGCUUAACCGGAGUAGUGCAUUGGAAACUGGGAGACUUGAGUGCAGAAGAGGAGAGUGGAACUCCAUGUGUAGCGGUGAAAUGCGUAGAUAUAUGGAAGAACACCAGUGGCGAAAGCGGCUCUCUGGUCUGUAACUGACGCUGAGGUUCGAAAGCGUGGGUAGCAAACAGGAUUAGAUACCCCAGUAGUC